rnacentral:tRNA from 1 species
GGGCCGGUAGCUCAGCACGGUAGAGCGACGGGCUCUUAACCCGUAGGCCCCGGGUUCGAAUCCCGGCCGGCCCGCCA